AUACGGAGGAUGCGAGCGUUAUCCGGAUUUAUUGGGUUUAAAGGGUGCGUAGGCGGUCGGGUAAGCGUAGGGUGAAAGUCCUCUGCUCAACAGAGGAAGUGCCUUCCGAACUGUCCGACUGGAAUGCUCCUGCCGUGGGAGGAAUGUGUGGUGUAGUGGUGAAAUGCAUAGAGAUCACACAGAACACCGAUUGCGAAGGCAUCUCACGAAGGGGCUAUUGACGCUGAGGCACGAAAGCGUGGGGAUCAAACAGGAUUAGAUACCCUGGUAGUCCACGCAGUAAACGAUGAUGACUAACCGUCGGUCAAGACUGAUCGGUGGCCAAGCGAAAGCGAUAAGUCAUCCACCUGGGGAGUACGACCGCAAGGUUGAAACUCAAAUGAAUUGACGGGG
rnacentral:rRNA from 1 species